rnacentral:lncRNA from 1 species
GAAAGUCUUGUUUGUACCAUGUCAGCAAGGCACACUCCCACCACAAAUAAAAGGAGUGAGAGGACUUCAGAUUACUCUUUUCUCCAAGUCUGCUUUCCUCCUCUUUGCAGAUACAGAUG